AUUGAACGCUGGCGGCAGGCUUAACACAUGCAAGUCGAGCGAGCGGCGGACGGGUGAGUAAUGUCUGGGAAACUGCCUGAUGGAGGGGGAUAACUACUGGAAACGGUAGCUAAUCCCGCAUACCAUCAGAUGUGCCCAGAUGGGAUUAGCUAGUUGUGGGGGUAAUGGCUCACCUAGGCGACGAUGCCUAGCUGGUCUGAGAGGAUGACGAGCAACACUGGACCGGAGACACGUGCCGGACUCCUACGGGAGGCAGCGGGGGGGAAUAUAGAAGAAGGGGCGCAAGCCGGGUGCGGCCAUGCCGGGUGUGUGGGGAAGGCCUUCGGGUUGUAAAGCACGUUCAGCGAGGAGGCGGUACUCGAAGAAGAAGCACCGGCUAACUCCGUGCCAGCAGCCGCGGUAAUAC
rnacentral:rRNA from 1 species